UUGCAUCAUUGACAGCUCAGAGUCUUGUAUUGUGGCCACCUGGGUUUCAAUAUGUUACGAUGCAAAAUGAAAGGUCCCUGCGCUUUCUGCUUGCCCCAUGAGUGGCAUGUAAGAUUGAAUUUGGGACUACAAAU
ensembl:snoRNA